rnacentral:rRNA from 1 species
CGUCCUACGGGAGGCCGCAGUCGGGCCUUUUCUUCCCUUUUUUGCCCCCUGACCGAGCAACGCCGCGUGAAGGAAGAAGGAAUUCGUUCUGUAAACUUCUGUUAUAAAGGAAGAAAGGCGGAUGAAGGAAAUGACAUCCGAGUGACGGUACUUUAUGAGAAAGCCACGGCUAACUACGUGCCAGCAGCCGCGGUAAUACGUAGGUGGCAAGCGUUAUCCGGAAUUAUUGGGCGUAAAGAGGGAGCAGGCGGCAGCAAAGGUCU